CCGUGCUAGAUGGGGAGGCAGCGGUGCCCUGUAACUCGCAAUCCGCUACAGCGAGGUUGAAUCCCUGUUCGAGGUCUUGUCGAUGUGAGGUUUGGUCUUUACAUGCGACGUUGACGGUCGGGUCUUCCGCAAUGGAUGCUUAUGAAUCUGGUCAGGUCCGGAAGGGAGCAGCCAUAAGUAAGAUGUUCUAUGUGCCGGAGGGUAGCCUGGCCCGAGUCGUUCUGUAAGGGUGCCACUCGGAUCGCAAUGAUCGGAAACAGGUGCACGG
rnacentral:SRP_RNA from 1 species